GACGAACGCUGGCGGCGUGCUUAACACAUGCAAGUCGAACGGAAAGGCCCUGCUUUUGUGGGGUGCUCGAGUGGCGAACGGGUGAGUAACACGAGAGUAACCUGACCUUGACUUUGGGAUAACUUCAGGAAACUGGGGCUACUACCGGAUAGGAGCUCCUGCUGCAUGGUGGGGGUUGGAAAUUUUCGGCGGUUGGGGAUGGACGCGCGGCUGAUCAGCUUGUUGGUGGGGUAGUGGUUUACCAAGGAAUGGGAUGGUAGCCGGCAUGGGAGGGUGGCCGGCCACCAUGGGACUGAGAGAGGGACCAGUCGCCAACAGGAGGCAGCAGUGGGGAAUAUUGCACAAUGGGCGGGAGCCUGAUGAAGCAACGUCGCGUGCGGGAUGACGGCCUUCGGGUUGUAAACCGCUUUCGCCUGUGACGAAGCGUGAGUGACGGUAAUGGGUAAAGAAGCACCGGCUAACUACGUG
rnacentral:rRNA from 1 species